AGGGAGCGGGAAUGCCGUGUUUGCACGCCCUGCUCCUCCUGGCUGAUAUUUGCUGUUUGCAGGCCGAGGUUCUGGGCCUGGCUGAUGCUUUUCCCUUGGAAAGCUCCUUGGGAACUUGUCUCAACCUGGAUUUUUGUGCUGAGAAGCAGCAGCACAGGAAAUGUGGCCAUUCCAGCCCCAUCCCUCCUGUCAGAGACAGGGAUUUAAUCCUGGCUGAUGGACAUGCACUUCAAUUCCAGGCUUCAACGUGCCCAAGGAUUUGGAAAGAGCACUAAGGAAUAAGAAACCCUUUUCCAUUUUACCAGCACAAUAUUCCAGACCUGAAAACCCUAGAGGUUCCUGGACAUUUCAGUGACUUUUUCCAGCAUCUUUCCUAAGAUUCUCCUUGGAAGGCAUUUUUGUUUCCCUGUAGGAACCUGAAGCUCAGCAAAGCCCCGAAUA